GACCACCCAUCGCUCUGCAGUCAGCUUCCAGGCCUCUGCCCUUCACUGCACCUGGAUCCUCCAGCUCUGCACUGCAUAGAUGGCCACUGGGACUCCUCUACCUCUGGCCCUAUCCUGCUGAUGGAACAGUGAACAAGACACAAGACCUGGCCUUGAAUUCACAUUUCAUUGACAUAAUAGGUGCUCAGCAAACAGGAAGUUCACUGCAUCUCAGUCCUACUGGGGUUUAACUAAGAUCAUUCUGAGUUGAGUUAAUUGGAUGAAUGAAAUAAUGAGGCCAGGCCUAGAAGAAACAGGGCUUUGAAGAAACAAGCAUGCUCCUUCGGAAUUGACACAAAGACCCACAGACUCAGCUGUUUGUGAAGCUCCCCUUCUCUGUGUUACGUUCAGGACUUUUUCCAAAUAUGUUAAGAGCCACAUAUUUGUUGAAGAGAUGACUGAGGAAGGAGCUCUGAGAUGCUAUAAGACCUACAGUGAAAACUCUUCUUGAACUCUCAGUCCUUCUGCCUCAGCCACCUGAAUAUGAAAGGUUUACCUCCUAAAAGUUCUAACACCUCAAUACUGCCACACAGUGGACCAAGUUUCUAGCACAAGAAUCUUUGGGGAAUGUGCUGGUUAAUCUUGUCAGUUUGCCAGGAUGAAGAGACUCUUGACAGAUCCCAAGAGUUGAGAAAAUUUCCUCUCCCAUGCCCUUCUGCCAUGAUGUUUCUGCAUCGGAACCUGCCAACCAUGAACUGAAAUUG